rnacentral:lncRNA from 1 species
GCGCGCGCGGCGAGGAGCUGGCCGCGCUGGGCAAGCAGGCCAGCUUCUCGGGCAGCGUGGAGGUCAUCGAGGUGUCCUGACCGCGGCCGGAGCGGCCUCUCCGCGGGGACGCGGCGCCCCGAGCCCUUGGCUGCCCUCGGCUGGGCCCGCUAUAAAUAUAUAUUAUAUAUAAUGCAAAGAAAGGUAAAUGGUUUUACUGCGAUUUUUAUCGAGAAGUAAAUAUUUCAAUUUUUUAUUUAUUUAAGCUGUUCAUUCUGGCAAUGAUUUGGCAACAGUGCGGGCGGUCCUCGGAGCUCUAUUUUUACUGUCUGGUAUUUAAAAUGAAACCCACGUUUCUAAGCAAUAUGAGGCCACCUUCAGUUGCAAGCUGGGGUGCCAGGCUUGGGGUUCCCCUGCCCCCUCCCCCAGGAAACACUGCUGACCAUUGUAAAGAGGCUGCUGAGCUUUCGUGCACUUUUUACAUAAGAAAAGGGGAAAAAAGGAUAAAAAACCUUAGCCGCAGACUGAGCCGCAGAGCCCCCCUGCCCUCCCGCUGAGUCCUCUCCUGCCCCUCCCUUCUCUGCUCCUCUCCCGGCUCCUCACCAAAGCCAUAGGUGGGAGGGGGUGUCCUGGAGCCAGGGGGCCCCCAGGAGGCGCUCACAGCCCCCUGCCAGCUCCAGUGCCACCGAGGGCGUCCCUGCCACCCAUCCCCCCAGCCUGUUGCCUGCCAGGUGUUGGGGGGCCAGGGUGGGGUCCGGAAGAGGGUAGCAGUGUAAAGAAGGGGGCUCUGAGUGUGAGGAGACGUGAGUCCCCAGGGCAGGGUGACCCCCACUCCCAUCUGAGCCUGGGUCCAGCUGCACGAGCUCCAGCAGUUCCGAGGAGGCUGCUACCCUCUCCUCCACUUUGUGAGCACCCUCUCCAGCACCAGCUGCCAAGUGGGGAGCUGGCAGAGGGGGAGCUUGGUCCCUGGGGGGCAGUGGGAAUAGCUGGGCCAGCCGUGCUGGCUCCACUGGUCAGAGGGCAGAUAGAUUCCGGGUCUUGUUCUGCGGGUGGAGGUGACUCUCAGAGGAGGGCUCUGCCCUGGAGUGGAGCCUGGGGACAGGGGGCUAGAAACGGCUGGAACCAGCGGGUAGACUGUGGACACUUAGGGUGAGUAGGGGCUGGUGCGGGCUGGGCUGCGCGGCUUUCCUUGCCUGGAGCCACGUGCCUUUGGGCCGCAGCCACGUUCUCCGCAUCGUUUGGUUUUUUUCUCUUUGCAAGAAGUCUCCUUGCUGGUGGGAAGUGCGGCUGUGCGUGCUUGCCUGCAGUGGCCGAGCCUGAUGUCCCCCUGCUGCUGCUGGCGGGCUCCCCCAGAGGGUGGGUGCAGUGCUGGGAAGUGGGGCGGGGUCCUGUGGGGGGUCACACGAGAGCCGUUUAGUGGGGAUUCUGAGGGAGGGUCUUUGAAAAGUCUCUGUUUGAGCUAAGAGCUCGGAGAUGUGAAUGGGGCUCAGGGCCCGGAUGGUUUGGGGUUUGAAUCCCGACUGCAGCGUCACAAGAUGUCCUGUCUCACUUUUGCGAGCCUCAGUUUCAUCCUCUGUGAAAUGGGCAGAGGAUGAACAGUAACCUUCCCAGCGGGUGGUGGGAAGGAGCUCUGUGUCCGCGUGGAGAAGGCCCCUAGCCCCUGCCAGCGCGCUGCGGCCCGCCCUGCCGUGCUGCUGGGGCGAGUGGCCGCCGGGUCCCGGGGCACGCAGCCCCCUUCUGCAGCAGGCCCGGCUCUCGGGGUGACUCGGGCGGAAGGGAGGGCCCAGGGGCUC